rnacentral:rRNA from 1 species
AGAAUCAACGCUGGCGGCGUGCCUAACACAUGCAAGUCGAACGAGAAAGUGGAGCAAUCCAUGAGUAAAGUGGCGACCGGGUGAGUAACACGUGACUAACCUACCUUCGAGUGGGGGAUAACCUCGGGAAACCGAGGCUAAUACCGCAUAACAUCGCAAGAUCAAAGCAGCAAUGCGCUGGAAGAGGGGGUCGCGGCUGAUUAGCUAGUUGGCGGGGUAAUGGCCCACCAGGGCGAAGAUCGGUAGCCGGCCUGAGAGGGCGCACGGCCACACUGGAACUGAAACACGGUCCAGACUCCUACGGGAGGCAGCAGUGGGGAAUUUUGCGCAAUGGGGGAAACCCUGACGCAGCAACGCCGCGUGGAGGAUGAAGCCCCUUGGGGUCGUAAACUCCUUUCGACCAAGACGAUAAUGACGGUACUGGUGGUAAGAAGCACGGCUAAACUCUAGUGCCAGACAGUCCGC